GAUUAACGCUAGCGGCAGGCAUAAUACAUGCAAGUUGAACGGCAGCACAGGUAGCAAUACUGGGUGGCGAGUGGCGCACGGGUGCGUAACACGUAUGCAACCUACCCUAUACAGGCGAAUAACCUUUAGAAAUGAGGGCUAAUACGCCGUAGUAUUACAGAUGGGCAUCUAUUUGUAAUUAAAGAUUUAUCGGUAUAGGAUGGGCAUGCGUCCCAUUAGUUAGUUGGUAAGGUAACGGCUUACCAAGACGAUGAUGGGUAGGGGAUCUGAGAGGACUUACCCCCACACUGGUACUGAGACACGGACCAGACGCCUACGGGAGGGAGCAGUAAGGAAUAUUGGGCAAUGGCCGCGAGGCUGACCCAGCCAUGCCGCGUGCAGGAAGACGGCCUUAGGGGUUGUAAACUGCUUUUAUACGGGAAUAAUAGAGUGUACGCGUACAUUUAUGCAAGUAUCGUAUGAAUAAGCAUCGGCUAACUCCGUG
rnacentral:rRNA from 1 species